GCCCUUGUAGCGAGGUGGAUAGCGCGUGGGACCUCAAACCCAAAGGUCCCGGGUUCCAAUCCGGGCAGAGAUG